UACCGGUCCGAUAUAUACAGCUGAGAGUCGCGUCUAUCAAACAAAGGUGAACAGUGAGGGAGGGAGGUGCGUUAUAUUUUACCAACCAUCCUAUCACCCUCCGUGGUCCUUUCAGUACACUUAAAAUACAUAAUAAAUAAAUUUUACUAAGAACUACCCACACUCUGUGAUUUCUAUGUACUGUGUGGAUAUAAUUUUGUUAAAAAGGUGAAAAACUUAUUUAACACAAAGACUGACGCGCUGGAUUUGAAGCCACGCUUAAAUCCCCAGGGUUCAAACCCCCUCCCCCUCGCGCAGUGAUCUAUCAACCCUUUAGGUCAAGUGAAACCACGACUGAAAUUAAAGUGGAACUCCCAAAAUGGAAUAAGAGUGCACUGACAGUGGCAUUAAUUGCCUAAAAUAUUCAGUGCUAAUGGCCAUACUUUGCAGGGAAGGGAUGAUCCACAGUAGCAGUAUGCCGAGCAAAACAGGAGCUCAGCAAGUACUUAAUACACAGCCAUGGCAUACAGGCGGUCAAACAACGACGCCGACGACAGAUUUCCAGCCCGACCGGCCGAUUGGUUACGGGGCAUUUGGGGUCGUCUGGUCGGUGACCGAUCCAAGGGAUGGAAAACGAGUGGCGCUUAAAAAACUACCAAAUGUGUUUCAGAGUCUUGUCAGUUCAAAAAGGGUGUUCAGAGAGCUAAAGAUGAUGAGGUUUUUCAAACAUGAAAACGUUCUUUCCUGUCUGGAUAUUCUUCAGCCUCCUCACCUGGACUUCUUUACAGAGAUCUACUUGAUUACAGAACUCAUGCAGAGUGACCUUCAUAAGAUCAUUGUCAGCCCACAACAGUUGUCAGCGGAUCAUAUUAAGGUAUUUUUGUACCAAAUUCUUCGUGGAGUGAAGUACCUACACUCGGCUAAGAUUAUACAUCGAGAUAUAAAGCCGGGUAAUCUUCUCGUCAAUAGCAACUGUGUCCUCAAAAUAUGCGAUUACGGGUUAGCGAGGGUUGAAGAGAGGGACCCUAGCAGAGCUAUGACACAGGAGGUGGUUACUCAGUACUAUCGGCCUCCAGAGAUACUUCUAGGUGCACGACAUUAUACAAACUCAGUCGAUAUCUGGUCCGUCGGCUGUAUUUUCGGCGAAUUGGUCGGCCGACGAAUUCUAUUUCAGGCCUCGAGUCCUAUUCAGCAGUUGGAUUUGAUAACUGACCUUUUGGGCACUCCUACGUUGGCUGACCUGAAGUACGCCUGCGACGCCGCGAAGCGGCACAUGCUCAACCGCGGCGUGAAACCUCCCUCGGUUUCUGCCCUGUACUCCAUGGGGCAGUGGGCGACACACGAAGCGAUCCAUUUAAUGUGUCAGAUGCUUACAAUGGAUCCAGAUAAAAGGAUCAGUGUAACCGAGGCGCUCAACCACCCAUACCUAGACGAGGGUAGGCUAAGAUACCAUUCCUGUAUGUGCGCAUGCUGUCACUCAACCUCCUCUGGUAUGCGCCAGUACACACGUGACUUCGAGCCAAUAUCGGAGGAACCCUUCGAUGAUGCCUGGGAGCUGGAGCUGACCAGCGUGAAUAAAGUUAAACACAAGCUUCACAAGUUCAUCCACGACCAGUUAAACUCCAACCGGGUCCCACUCUGUAUCAAUCCAUCCUCUGCUGCAUUUAAAAGCUUCGCCAGUUCAACCGUCGCCCAUCCCUCCGAACUUCCACCCUCACCACAUCACUGGGAGUAAAUAGACCAACCCUUCUUCACCCAUUAUCUGGACCAUGAUGGGAAUAAAAAAUCCCCCAGAGAACAAUGGAAUUAACUAGUGUUAAAUAAUACUUGGAAGUUCAAAACUUUUACCAACAUCUAGGUGUUGAUUAAUAUAUUAACGUACUAUGAAAAGUUGACUAGUUGAGUAGUCUACCUACUCAUACCAAUUUAACCAAAAAAUAAAAUUCAUCCAGAAUAAUGAACUCCAUCAAUACAGACAAUAGAAAUGGAUAUAUCCAGCCCUCUAUCUCGCCUUCUCCUGGCUCCAUCUAAUUUUCUCCUACCCUUGCCACCUUCUCUAAAUUGUUUUCUUCUUCAAACCUCCCAAACAACUUGUAUCAAGUCUUGGAGUAGGAGGCUUUGUAUUCACGAGUAAAGCUCAAGAUUAAAUCUCCUGCUGGAUAUUUCCCGUAGAAAAUAAGCUGAAAUCAACUCCUGGACUCCUCAACAAAAACCGUAAAACUCGUAUCUUUGGCUCUCAGAGGACCAAAAAGCUAUUCGUAAUUCAAAAAAAUCUUUUUAAGUAGACCUUAUAAACUCAAACAUCUGGCCUUUAUUCGCCUUCGUCGUCUUUUAAAAGAGAAUAGUUGUCGACGAUUUCAACUGUGGAAUCCUAGACUAAAACUAAGUCUGACCAAGCCAAAAAUAAGUCCCUAGACUAGUUUUUCCCAUUUGGCCUCUCUAUUUAUAUUUUUAAUCAUGUGAAAUUUGAAGAGAUUUGACAGUCUUGCAUAGGAUUAAUUCUUGAAUGCUUAAACAUUAAGAUAUUCAUUAUUUUUGUUACAUUAUGUUUAUUUAAACGCCGGGGAUGAUGAUAUGUAAAGUGUAACCCCCGCAAAGUUGAGACUAACCCCUGUACAUAUUGUAAUCUUAAUCAUCACCCGUGUUUGCGCAUGUGUGAAUUUUUAAAAGACCAAAAUGUAAAAAACGUAUAUUCAAUCUGAUAAUCGUUGCUCAUGGAGAUAUUGUAAAGCCCUCAAAAGCGCCCCCCUCUCCACCGCAUACUGUAAAUAGUGUACUCGUAUAUCUAGUAAUUAAUCCGUAUUGUAAAUUUUGUAAAUUCUAUCACAUUAUGUUAGAAAUUUUGGCACACACAGUUCCUAAAAAUUCUGUUAUUUUCUGACCUUUUUCUCCUCUCCUCUGCCUCUUUUAGCCAUAUUUUGAAGGGCAUUUUUUGCACAAAGACUGAAAUUAGUUUGAGGUAUUUUCUUAUAACAGCUUAACUCAAUUUUUCUUCUUAUUGUUUUUGAGGGUUUUUAUUCGCGCUAUCCUGAUGAUGGGUUGCAAUAUAUUUGUGUACUAGUUUUAUACUUUUAGUGGUAGAUAAAUUUAAUUGGGUCCUAUGUAAUUUAGUGAAGUAAAAAUUACGAAAUUAUUUCGUAUUAUAUCGUACUAAAUUCUCGUAGGUGACAACGAAUCAUUUAAUACGUAUGGAAAAUGAUUGAAAUAAAAUUGCAAGCAAGACUGUGUA
rnacentral:misc_RNA from 1 species